CCUAAUCAAAUUAAAACCCAAAAUCGUAGAUCUGAUAUGUUCUGCUCUCUCACGAUCUCACCCCCUCCUUCAUUUCUGGACUGUUCAGUUUCCUAUCGACCCUGACGACCAACCAACUAGUGGUUUGCCACCGACGGCGUCCACCACCUCUCGUUCGUCUCCCUCUCUCACCCACUCUCACCCACUCUCUAACCCCUUGCGCCUCGCUCAUCACUAUCUCCUCUCUCUCACACCUAGCACGAAGAUUGGGGAAAGAAAAAUCUUUGGUUAUUCUGCUUUCUUACCUUAGUCGAAUUCUCCAUCAAUUUCUCUCUUCAUCUCACUAAUUCCUUUCUCUCUGCAGCGGUCUCUCUCUAAAAGCGGUUGGAACAUUUUCGAACUCUGAUUUUCAGGAUUAGUAAAAGAGCCACAUAAGUUAAGUGUGUGAAGUGAUUGUGUUGAAUGAGUAAAGAUGCAGUAAUAGCAAGCAGGUUCGUGGGUUGUCUGUGAUUUUGUGGGCUGUUGUUUUCUUAAUCUCGAUUGAUUGCAGGUUUGCUGAUAAAUUGCAAAUUAAUUAUACAUGCUUGCUUCCUAUGUAUUUUGUAAAAUAAUGGUGCGAUGUCUCUGUUACGUUGUUGUGUUUUGUUUGAAUUUUGUAGAAGCUGAAAGGUUGUUUGAUGGUAUGCUUAUCCAAGACGUGCUUCCCAUCUCUUCCCAUAGAGCUCUAGCCUUUGAUAAGGCCUAGGAUAAGAUAAAGAAAAAGAAGGAUGGAGUUAAAAGGAGAAAGUAUUCAAGAAGCACCUGAGAUAGUGAUGGUGAUCUAAAUGACAAUGGUACUUGUGCUGAAGUAAAGACCAUGAUAUGGCUGAUGACUUAUAUUAUGUAUUUUGUUGUUGGUUUCAAACAUGCACACGGUAUACUUGUUUUGUUACUGACUCAAUGCCUUAGAAUCUUGUUAGCAUCUCAAUAUGUUUAGAGGUGUUAGGAUGCUUAUGUUAGCUUUUGAGAUAUACACUUAGUGUAUGUAUUGGAUAUAACCUAACUUAUUGAUCAAUGAAAUGUGAUUAACCAAA